CGGUUUCCUGCGUUGCGUACCUACACGGAGGCAUUCGUUGUUGUCCCAACGACCCUCGUUCGUUGAGAGCUCCCCGUUUUGGCGGGGCACAAGACGAAAGUUGCAGCUUGGUCCGUUACCCACGUCGCGUCCGGCUGUCGUGGUGAACGGGGCUUUGCUUAAGCUCUCGGAUACGGAAAGCAUUGAGAGGGCAUUGACAUCUCAUCCUUGCCCGAGCAUGCAUGCAUUAGAUCGGACCCUAACAACAACGGUGCACGACUGUCGCUCCCGCCUCGGUUCGGCCGUGCGGGCAGGACGUCGUUGAGGAAUGCUACCUGGUUGA
rnacentral:misc_RNA from 3 species